rnacentral:misc_RNA from 1 species
GCAAACUUGGUCAUUUAGAGGAAGUAAAAGUCGUAACAAGGUAACCGUAGGUGAACCUGCGGUUGGAUCAUUAAAAAUUGUUUGGUCUCGUGCCAAAUCAACAUUUGUGUGCACCAUUGUCUGUUUUUGGUAGUUCGAGCUGCGCCUAUGUGGGACUCAACACCCCGCUGGCGCCUACCCCUUCUGCUUGCAUUUGGGGUUGGGCUACCGCCUUUUUGAACACACCUUACGAUUGUUUUUUAUGUCUGAACGAAAAGUUAAUCUUUGUUGAUUAAUGAUUCUUAUACAACUUUUGACAACGGAUCUCUUGGCUCUCGCAUCGAUGAAGAACGCAGC